rnacentral:rRNA from 1 species
UACGGAGGAGGCAAGCGUUAUCCGGAAUUAUUGGGCGUAAAGCGUCCGUAGGUGGUUUAGUAAGUCUGCUGUUAAAGCGCGGGGCUUAACCCCGUAUCGGCAGUGGAAACUACUAGACUAGAGUGUGGUAGGGGUAGAGGGAAUUCCCAGUGUAGCGGUGAAAUGCGUAGAUAUUGGGAAGAACACCGGUGGCGAAGGCGCUCUACUGGGCCAUAACUGACACUGAUGGACGAAAGCUAGGGGAGCGAAAGGG